UCUUAAUUUACUUGAAACAUUGCGAAAGUGGAAAGCUAGAGACAUGUUAAUUGAUUUUGCGAUAAUUUAAGCACCUGAAUACCUAUUUGGAAAGUUGUGUUUGAGAGGUUGUUCUGUGUAUACCUCCCAGUGAAAGCUAUUAUUAUUUCCUCUCUUAAGUGAAAAGCUUAAGAUAGAAACCACUUAUCGCGAAAAUGCGAAUUUGGAAGCCUGAGGCAAAAGUAAUGGUAAAUAUUUCGAAGACCCCAACUAUAAUUUUCUUCUGUAGAGUAGAAACAAAGUGUUCAUAGCUCCUAGAGUAUCAGUUCUGCUAAAUCUAAAAAUCAAGUGCUACUCUUUACGGCGUUUGAAUUUGGUAACCUGACAGAGAAAUAAAGAAAUGACUUCAAGGCUCUCUAUUUAAAUCUCUUGUGAAGAGAAUUUACACAAAUUGGCUAAUUGCACCAAUCAAGAAGUACAAACCCCCCCUCCGCCUGACGUCGUUUUUUCAACGGUAGGGUAUAAAAUAUACCUUCCUUUUACAUGAGGAAGUCGCAUGGUAACAUAUAAAAGAAAAAUCGAUAUACGGUGAGGCAAUGAUUUCGGUUUCAGACUAGCAACGGAUUUUCUUGAAAAUUGAUGAUGCGAAAUACUAGGAACAGCAAAAACUAAAAAAAGUUCUUUAAAAAACUUUGUAUAAGAAUAUUAAGUGACUUUGUUAACAAACUUAUUGUCUGGAAUAUCAUCAACAGUUAUCGACGACUUGCUUCUUACAAAGAGCAUCUUUUUUUCUUCUAAUUCUCCAUUUCUUGUUUUGCCUAAAUUCAAACGAUGACUGCGCUUGCAUAACAAAUUGUAAGGUUGUGCAAGUACCAAGGAUAGCAAAACACGUACAUUAGCGCCUCGAGUAGACAAAUUCGCUGCGUAUUCCAAUUAUGAAGACGAUAUUCGCUGCCAAAGUGAUUUUCUGGAGUAUAUUAAUCCAUCUGUUGAUAUUGAACCAUAUAUUAAAGUUUCUAUAAUUUGAAAAGGGUCUAAACAACAGUGAAGAAUAUAUUUUAUGACUCUUUAUGCAAAGCAUCAAUGAUUCUCACUAUAAAACGUAGUUUUGUUUGAGAUCUUUGUUUGAUGUGAAACAUCUAAUUGUGUGGGAAUGUGACUUAUCUUUGAAUAGAGCUGAUCAUGUUUGUUUUUUUUUGGGUCUUCCCUCAGUUUUUAUCGUGUUUGCCGUAGUUUUUUUGCUCUUGAAUUAAUUAGCUCAGAUAUUACUCCGGAAUUCGAAUGUCAACAAUUUUGUACCCCUGCUGUCGCUGACUGCUCGGAAUUGAUCACCACUCUAAAAAUAGCUAAGCUCAUUUGAGCCAACAAGCUAUGAGGAACAAAGCUUAAUGGAUAAAAAGAAACACUUUAGUUCUUGCAGUUGAACUGUGUGUAUCGGAUUGGUAUUAUUUUUGAUCUCUCUCUAGCUAAAUCGCCGGGCUGUGGACGUUUGGCGCGACGAAACUAUCACGAGUCGCCCUCUUGACCAAGGACCUGCCCUAAAGAUGUGCGAUAAAGUAAAACUGUGGUUUCUUUUGAUUGCGCUUUUCAAAAUCCCAUCCGCAACUACUUCAUAGGCUAAACCAUAGCGUGAAUUGACGCUUUUCCGGAGAAAAACCCAUUUCGAGAGUUCGUUUAUUAAAAAUAUCGAAUGCUUUGAUUGUGUAUUUCAAUGCGCACUUCCUCUCUCUCAGGCAUAUUUCAGGCGCGCCAUUUGUUUUUUUUUUUUUUGUUUGUUUUUUUCGCUAAACCACUAACGUUGCGAUGUUGGUGUUUUACUUUCCCCCUAUCGCGGGAGGUACACUUUCUCGUUUGUUAAGAGAACGCCCACAAAUCCCACGACCUCCGGAAAUGAGUUAACAAAUAAAACUGCUGUGUUUGUUUGAUGACGCUGCUGAUGCAAUAAAAGGGCUGACUUUGCGUUUGAUUUUUCGCGGAAGCGAAAUAGUCAACUCUUCUGGCACCAUUGUAGUUUUUUUCCAACCGUUUCGGUCACUGCUUUUCAGAUAUGCUAUUUCUGCUUCGAUUGUAAGCGUCAGACAUCAAUUUCACAGACAAUUAGUGCAAAUUACUCACAGUUUAGGUAGUGGUUUAAUUAACGAAUGUGUUUUACGUUAACUGCGGUUUAAUUUGUUUCUCUUUAAAUAAACGAAACGAUAAAUGUUA
rnacentral:lncRNA from 1 species